rnacentral:rRNA from 1 species
GACGUAGGGCGCGAGCGUUGUCCGGAUUUAUUGGGCGUAAAGAGCUCGUAGGCGGCUUGUUGCGUCGACCGUGAAAACCCGGGGCUCAACUUCGGGCUUGCGGUCGAUACGGGCGGGCUAGAGUUCGGUAGGGGAGACUGGAAUUCCUGGUGUAGCGGUGAAAUGCGCAGAUAUCAGGAGGAACACCGGUGGCGAAGGCGGGUCUCUGGGCCGAUACUGACGCUGAGGCGCGAAAGCGUGGGGAGCAAACAGG